CUUCUCAUCUUGAGGACUGAAUUCAGUUUUCAGUCAUUUCUAAGCUUAUAUUAAAGUCUUGGAUCCUGGCGCAGUGGCUUACAUCUGUAAUCCCAGUACUUUGGGAGGCCGAGGUGAGUGGAUCACCUGAGGUCAGGAGUUCAAGAACAGCCUGGUCAAACAUGGCAAAACCCCAUCUCUACUAAAAAUACAAAAAAAAAAAAAAAAAAUUAGCUGGGCAUGGUAGCAGGCACCUCUAAUCCCAGCUACUCAGGAGGCUGAAGCAUGAGAAUUGCUUUAACCCAGGAGACGGAGGUUGCAGUGAGCCGAGAUUACACCACUGCACUCCAGCAUGGGCAAAAAGAGCAAAACUCGGUCCCCAAAAAAUAAAAUAAAUAAAUAAAGUCUUGAUCUUUAAAAGCCUUGGAUGACUAAGGUUUAGAAUUGACUGAAAGAAGUGAGUUCUGAGUCAGGAACCUGUGUGUGACUUAUGCUGGAGGAAUAGUUAAAUCAUCAUUCUAGAUCAGGGCUGAUAGGCCAGUUCUCUAGGAUGGGAGCUUCCAGAUUGCAUGACUACAAAUGUAAGCAAUUUUGCCAGCUACUUCACUCAGUAAUAUUGUGCACAGCAUAAUGUGAGCUAUGAGUCUACUUUCUCUCUAGUUCAGUUGCCUCAUUCCUCUUACAGUGUGGGCACAUCACAAUGCUGAGAAGGAUUAAAACAAUAUUUUCCAUACAACAUAACUCUUAAACUUCGUCAGUAGUCAACGAAGAGACAGUAACAUGACUUGAAGACUGGAGAGAAAAACAACCAUGAAGGAUCCCAAUUUCCACUCAUUAUUAGAGAGCUGAAUUCUAAAUCAAAGAUUGUGCAGAAGAGAUGUGCAACCUGAAUAAAACAUUUCCAGAAGAGCCUGAAUAAUGGUCCUGAAUAAAGGGACCUGCAAUGUUCUUGAAUGUAAUUGGAAAAAAUUCAAGUGUGUGUACUCAGGAGCACAUGUACUAAGAAGAGAUGCUGUGAAUCACGUAAUCGAUUGCAUUUUCAAAAUCUUGGGUCCAAAUCCAUGUUACGCAUCUACUAAGCAUACCGUGUAA
rnacentral:lncRNA from 10 species